AUAAACAGAGAAAGAAA
rnacentral:sRNA from 1 species